rnacentral:lncRNA from 1 species
GACAGGGCAAGUCCAAGAGGUCAGUGCACCAGAACCAUACUGAGAUGUCUUCAAACAACAUCACGUGUUUCUCAUUGUUCAUGUGUUCAGAGCCCCACAGGAGAAAAACUACGGUGCAGAGCAGCUGAUGCAACACGAUAAGGAGUCCACUGCAGGACCUAACUCUGCAUCUGAUUAUAUCCAAACAGUGUCAUAUGAAUCGCAGACUACCAAGAAAAAGGUGAGUUUUAACUAUCCAGUAUGGAGCUAUGGGCCAGUUGAUCCUGAAGAGCUGAUGAGAAUCAAGCGAAGGCAAGUUCAACCUCAGCAGCCCAGACAGUCCAACACUUUCAGAAUACUACAGGAGGGACUAGAACGUGAGUGUGUUUAUUUCACUGCAUUUCUUGCAUUCAAACCUCUUGAAUAAUAAGCAUAAG